AACGCACCUUGCGCUCCUUGGUAUUCCGAGGAGCAUGCCUGUUUGAGUGUCAUUAAAUUCUCAAACUCCGAUCGAUUUGUUUCGACUUCGGGGCUUGGAUUUGGAGCGUGCUGGCGUCGGUCGGCUCCUCUUAAAUGCAUCAGCGGAAUCUAACGUUCCGGACGUCAGUGUGAUAAUCACGUUGCGCUGUCUUUCGGUCCGAAAAGCCCGCUCACAAUGGUCUUCGGACAGCUUCAUAUCAAAUUUGACCUCAAAUCAGGUAGGACUACCCGCUGAACUUAA
rnacentral:misc_RNA from 1 species